UGGGGAAUCUUGGACAAUGGGGGCAACCCUGAUCCAGCGAUGCCGCGUGGGUGAAGAAGGCCUUCGGGUUGUAAAGCCCUUUAGGUCGGGACAAAGGGUGUAUGGGGAUAAUCCAUAUACUUUGAUGGUACCGACAGAAUAAGCACCGGCAAACUCUGUGCCAGCAGCCGCGGUAAUACAGAGGGUGCGAGCGUUAAUCGGAAUUACUGGGCGUAAAGGGCGCGUAGGCGGUUUAGUGGGUGUGAUGUGAAAGCCCUGGGCUUAACCUAGGAAGCGCAUCGCAAACUACUCAACUGGAGUAGAUGAGAGGGUGGCGGAAUUUCCGGUGUAGCGGUGAAAUGCGUAGAGAUCGGAAGGAACGUCAAUGGCGAAGGCAGCCACCUGGCAUCAUACUGACGCU
rnacentral:rRNA from 1 species